rnacentral:lncRNA from 1 species
AGACCACCACGGUGACUUGCAAGCAACUCACUGCACUUAGGCACUGGACUACCUGAAUUUUUAAUUCAGUGACGGAAGGCUGCUGGGUGUAGUCAAGUACUUGACUUGUCGGUGCGUGUGUCAAGAUGGGAUUGACCACUCCAGUUUAGGAGCUAUGUACAGUCGUGUUUUAAUUUAGCAAAACAUUGGCCAAGGUAGUCCUUGUGAGGAGUCA